rnacentral:rRNA from 1 species
GAUGAACGCUGGCGGCGUGCCUAAUACAUGCAAGUAGAACGCUGAAGGAGGAGCUUGCUCUUCUGGAUGAGUUGCGAACGGGUGAGUAACGCGUAGGUAACCUGCCUGGUAGCGGGGGAUAACUAUUGGAAACGAUAGCUAAUACCGCAUGACAACAGUUAUUGCAUGAUAACUGUUUAAAAGGGGCAACUGCUCCACUACCAGAUGGACCUGCGUUGUAUAGCUAGUUGGUGAGGUAACGGCUCACCAAGGCGACGAUACAUAGCCGACCUGAGAGGGUGAUCGGCCACACUGGGACUGAGACACGGCCCAGACUCCUACGGGAGGCAGCAGUAGGGAAUCUUCGGCAAUGGACGGAAGUCUGACCGAGCAACGCCGCGUGAGUGAAGAAGGUUUUCGGAUCGUAAAGCUCUGUUGUAAGAGAAGAACGAGUGUGAGAGUGGAAAGUUCACACUGUGACGGUAUCUUACCAGAAAGGGACGGCUAACUACGUG